GCGUAAGCGCACGCAGGCGGUCUGUCAAGUCGGAUGUGAAAUCCCCGGGCUCAACCUGGGAACUGCAUUCGAAACUGGCAGGCUAGAGUCUUGUAGAGGGGGGUAGAAUUCCAGGUGUAGCGGUGAAAUGCGUAGAGAUCUGGAGGAAUACCGGUGGCGAAGGCGGCCCCCUGGACAAAGACUGACGCUCAGGUGCGAAAGCGUGGGGAGCAAACAGGAUUAGAUACCCUGGUAGUCCACGCCGUAAACGAUGUCGACUUGGAGGUUGUGCCCUUGAGGCGUGGCUUCCGGAGCUAACGCGUUAAGUCGACCGCCUGGGGAGUACGGCCGCAAGGUUAAAACUCAAAUGAAUUGACGGGGGCCCGCACAAGCGGUGGAGCAUGUGGUUUAAUUCGAUGCAACGCGAAGAACCUUACCUACUCUUGACAUCCAGAGAACUUAGCAGAGAUGCUUUGGUGCCUUCGGGAACUCUGAGACAGGUGCUGCAUGGCUGUCGUCAGCUCGUGUUGUGAAAUGUUGGGUUAAGUCCCGCAACGAGCGCAACCCUUAUCCUUUGUUGCCAGCGGUUAGGCCGGGGACUCAAAGGAGACUGCCAGUGAUAAACUGGAGGAAG
rnacentral:rRNA from 1 species